AGCGAUGUAGCUCAGUGGAUUUAGAGCGUUCCCCUACGAAGGGAAGGGUCGGGGGUUCGAGUCCCUCCAUCGCUG
rnacentral:tRNA from 1 species